GGGUCAGUAGGUUGGUCGUGCCACCGGUACGUACUGGUCUCACUGAUUCCUCCUUCCUGAAGAACCGUAAUGCCAUUAAUUUGGUGUUGCGGGGAAACAGGACUGUUACUUUGAAAAAAUUAGAGUGUUUAAAGCAAGCUAACGCUUGAAUACAUCAGCAUGGAAUAAUGAAAUAGGACGAUCGACCCUAUUUUGUUGGUUUCUAGGAUUGACGUA
rnacentral:rRNA from 1 species